AAAAUAUUAAGAUGUAGUUUGAGUCAUCAAAUGAAUGGCAAGUUAUGCAUACAAGGUGUUCAAAGAUGUCAUGUUACUAAUGAAUGCCAGUGAAGAACUUCCAUUUACUAUGUCACCUAUUCGUCUGCACCACAGAAAUAAAUAGUUCAUUCUUCUGUUCUGCAACCUUAAUAUUUGACAAUGAUACUUAUCUACUCCCGCCAUCAGUAGUCACUUACAAGCUUGUCAGUUGGACAAGAUUAGAAAGAGUGGUUGGAAGUGGACCUUGAAAUGAAUUGCCUUGAAACCGUCUGCAAAAUUAUAGUUGUUGUUACUAGUGAAGAAAGAAGGAAGAUCCUGCUGGUACAAGGGUCACUUUCUUGGUAAAAAAAGUAAAUAGAUUUAUGCAGAUAGAAAUAUGAUCUGUUCCAUACAAAAAAUAAUUAUUAGAAAAAUCAAUUCAAUAUUUUUAACACUAGUAUUUUUUUAAUGGAACAGGAGGGGUUAGGACCCCUACUGGUUAUAUAUUCAGGAAAAAGAGUAUUUUACAGAGCAAUAGGAGAAAAAGGAAAAUUACAACAGAUUGUCAAGCCAUUCUGUGAUUCUAGGGAAAGACUUAUUUUUUGCUCGAUGGAUAACCAUAUCAAAUUCAUACUUGAAAAUGUUUCUGCAACUCUCAACUGAAACUUGUUGUUGCCUGGAGAUUGCAUUGUUCCUUGUUGUCCAGAAUAUGUGGAACAGCACCGCAUUAUCAUGAAUAGUGAAAAAAUGUAAUAUUUACUAAAAUGAUGAAACCACCUCACAUCUGACCUUAAGUGGAUUAUUUUAAUAGGCCACUGAAUGGAGAUUUAGCAGAGUAAAAACUACACUUAGCUAAUACCAUCUCAUUUAUGAGCACAAUGAGCCAGGGUUCAAAAUGAAUUUCAUACUUGAGAACUGUUGCAAACUGUACACAAUGUCUUUAAAGAAAUUAUCAUCACCAUCUGAAAAGUAUAAGUUGUAAAUCUUACAGUUCUAAUAAAUUACUGAAGCUCCCAAUGUAAUCUGGUAUUUGCCCAGUAAAAUCAUUAUCUGAUGCCCACCUAAUCACAAAUAAGAAAAACACAUAAGGUUAAAUGAAUGAUACUGUUGACAAAACAUCUUUUAUAGGCAUACAAUAUUUUCAUGCUUGUAAGCUUAGAAAAUGAUGGUGGUAAUGGACCACUUAAGCCAGAGCUGUCAAUAUAUCUGCAAGACAGAAAUAAAAGAAUAAGAAUGUUAACAUGGUUUGGCAGAAGAAAAAGGUAAGGACUACAGGGUGCCCAAAAUUAAUCAAAAUACGCACAGUUGCUCAAGUUUAACCAUGUUACCCAGUUCGGGAGGAAGGGAUCCAUUUAAGUUGUUCAUGCUUAUGCCCCUGAAAUCCCAGAAAAAAAUAUCAGGUUAGUAGCAAAAGAUUUGUGACAGGAAACUUUCUUAUCUUUCGAAGGAUGAAUACAUUUCUCGACAGAGGUCAACUAGUAGAAGGAAUGAAGGUGUGUUUUUUCUAUAAGCUUGAUGUCGAUAGCAUGUAUUCUCAACUUAAACUGUUCUUUAUUUGUUGAUUCUUACACAUUUAAAUAAAUUUAUAGGUACGUGUACAAAGCCAAGUCGAGAUUUAUAAAACUUUGUAGUUUGGACAUUAGCAAAGAUUUCUACUGAAAUAGGGUCAUGAAACAGAGAAGGUAAAUUUCUUACAGCGAUAUAAGAUUCACAAGCUUCCCAAGCUCCUUUGGAACAGAUCCAGAUAAUGCAUUAAUUGCAAGACUCCUUUUAUGUUCAAGGGAGAUAAUUUAAGUUUCAAUGUUACCCAAAACAUGUGAUGUAGUAAUGUUAGGUUCUAAAUCUCACAUGUAUUGCAAAGCAGUCAGUUCCCCAAGGAACGAUGGUACAGGCCCUGUUAAGUAAUUUUGCAUUAAGUUCCUGAAAAAAACGUCAGAUCAGAUCAGAUGUAAACGAAAAAGGAUGGCUCUCAGUAGGUAUUAUAUUUAAAGAAAUUUUGAGCUUGAUGCGGGAGGCUACUACAAAGCAAUCCGCUGCUAUGAUAAUAUGAUAUGCUGUGGAACUGCGGAAAAUGACAAAGUCCACCGAUAAAUUGCGACUAAACAAUCUUCAUAUACACUUGGGAUACUUUGGCUCACUGACGAUUUCAAGAAAGUUGAGAAUUCAUACAAAUUGGUCAAGUGCGUGAGGUUCCUCAGCUCUUCUGGUAUAGGACCUACCAGAUUCAAUGCGUACAUUUUCCUGCAGUAAUAACAGUGAAGCACCCAUCAGCUCACACCAUCUCAAUUUAGCCUUCAUGGAUGUUCGUCAUCAGACAAACACCACUAGGUUAUGGAGCGCCGUCAAAUAACCGCACAAGCAAUAGUUGCAGAGAUAAGGACGAUGCACUAGCUUGCCACACUCUGAGUGCACGAACUGCCACCUCAGGUGGGCAAAUUAGAUCAUCCAGCAACUAAUGGUGGGCGUACGGAUAGGAAGCGUGAGACACUUACAGCUUGGUGAUGUGGCAGACGGUGUUGUUCUGGCCGGAGCACUUGCACUGGAUGGCCGGGUUGAAGUUCAUGUCUGAGUCGAUGUUGGUGUCGUCCGUGGCGGCGCCGGUGCAGGGGUCGCCGCUGAUGUUCCAUGCCGAAGACGCCGUCUGGCCGAGCUUGUCGAACACCGCAUUCACCGCCGCCGCUGCAAAACCGAAAACGGGUUCAUACUUCACACACAUCCCAAAGAAGCAAUCACCGACUAACCUUUACCGACCACAGAGAAUAUAUAAAAUAACAGAUCACCCUCAGGCACUCAACGCGAACUCUAGGCAAAAGUGGUGAAUCUAGUAGUGUACAGUGAUAGCUAGUCUUAUAAUACAUUAAAAGCAUUAUAAGUACCCUAAAAGCUUGGUGACAUAGUAACUUUUUUUUUUCUUUUUUAAUAAAAAAUAUAUAUCUAGUAGGAGUCUUAGCCCCACCUGUUCCUUAAAAAAAAAUACCAAGACUCUAGCUGUCCUACCUCGGGGCUUUCUUAUUUUUUAAAAAAAUAAAGGCAACGGGUAAUAAUACGUUUGGUUCCACGGACUAAAGUUUAGUCCCUAUCACAUCAAAUGUUUAGAUACUAAUUAGGAGUUAAGCUAAUUAUAAAACUAAUUGCACAGAUGAAGGCUAAUUCGCGAGACGAAUGUAUUAAGCCUAUGUCAAAUCAUGGACUAAUUAGGCUUAAUAGAUUCGUCUCGCGAAUUAGCCUCCAUUUGUGCAAUUGGUUUUGUAAUUACUCCUAAUUAGUAUCUAAACAUUCAAUAUGACAGGAACUAAACUUUAGUUUGUGACAAUGAAUACGACAACUAGCAAGUAACUACCACGACAAGCAGCCAUAAGGUGGUUGAAGCUGCACAACAAGUCAACAACUAGCUCUCUAAAGAAGGUUGAUUUUUAGGGCAGUCCCAAACCAUAGUUUCUAUGGGUAGUUUCUAUGUUGACCUAUCACCAAGAUGCCACUUGUAGAUCUAAUCUCCCCAACCCAUAGUUUCUAUGGGUAGUUUCUAUGUAGAGCAAAAUUUCAUGAUUUCACGCAAGCACCACAAGCAAAGCUCGGUCAGCUGUCGCAAGCAACCGCGUAGCCUUCAUGCUGCCACAGUCCGAGCCAUUGAAACAAAAUAAUUCUUUCACAGCUGCUAUAAGAUCGAUCGACCUGGAAAGCGCCGCCAAGAGACGAUGCAGGCCAAAAUGCAGGAGCGAGAUGAGUGCUGGUUCGAUCAGUGCCUGGACAAAGUGCCAAAGUGGCGCUUGAAGCAACGGACGGAGAACUGGCGCCUGCAGAAGCAACUGCGGUAGCACCAACAACACGUCUGGAACUUGAAGAGGGCUUCCUCGAUUUCUUUUGAUGUACGCCUUUCUUCUCCAAUCGAUCCUUAGAAGCGGCGCGUGUGGAAUUGCUGGCGGAGGCUUGGUGCGCGGCCGCGCACGGGGGUGGCCAGCGGCGUGAGGCGGACACAGGCGCCGGAAAUUGGCACGCGCGAGCGAGGGAGGGGAUGGCCGCGGCGCGCGCGUGAGGGAGGGUCGCGACGCGGCAGUAGCAGGCGCGCACGGAGCCUGGGGUUGGGUCGCGGCGCACAGCGGAUCGGGAAGAUGGGCAAGAAAACGAGGAAGGAAACGAUAACGCUGGCACAACGCGAUUACGGCGGUAUCUACGCACUUUGGUGCGCGAGCCGACUCGGUUUCUCACAUGAGAAAAACGAUUUCUUGCCCUUUCUUCGUUAAAUCACCUGCCACAUCGUUAGAUCGCUGAUAUGGUACUGUAUUGAAUGAUAUAGAAAUUGGAGGGUUGGGAGUGCCCUUAAUAUUUUCUCGCUUGGAUCCCAAUUUCACCUCGUGGGCUUGCUCUGUUCGAUGUUUCCUCACGUGGGACUAGCGUUGAACCACAAGAGUUUCUGACUUAUUCGUGGGCAAAACAUGGAUGAGGUCAAAAGGCGAAAAACCAUAAUAUCAUACCAUUAAACGCGCCCCUGUUGCCCUUCUACCCGAAACAUUUGGAACGAGAUAGUUUCUUGGACGAAUCGGGCAGAUGAUUCUCUGGAACAGAUCAGGGAUUGUACAGAUCAGGGAGAUGAAAUUCCAACAGCAAAGGUGGCCAUGAUGCCGGUAAGAAUUCGACUCGAUCGAGCUGAUUUUUCAAGAACUUACUUGCAGGGGAUAUUAUCUUAAGAACGUGAGGACAUUGCUGACAGCUAGCAACCUCAAACUGAGAGGCGCCUCCCAGGAAAAGAAACAAAGCAAAAGGCAAGAACAAACUUAAUUACAAAUAUACAAUCGAGCUCAUCAGAUAGAACACCUCGAAAAUUAUCUUUUUAUCGCAGGAGCGCUGAAUAGGACUUACCUUCAGUUGGAUCUGUCCUUGUUGGUGGUGCUUGCUGAGCUUUGGCCGACGCAGCUAGGAGAAGCAGCGCGGAGAGCACGUAGCCACGGAGGGAAGAACUCCGUGUUAACCUCAUCUCCCUCUUCCUAACUGCUCUCGCUUAGCUUGGCCGUGGCCCUUCCGAGGAAAGCAAUCUUGUUCCGUGUCCAAAAAAUCUGCUGAUUUCAUCAUCAUAGAAGGAAAGCAAAGCAAAUAAAGCAGCAGUCAAAGGCACACGACUGAUUGGGGAUACGCGGUCGUUUGGCAACAUUAGUACUGAAGACGACUGCAUGACUGACUGACGUUCUCAAGCUUUGGAUUCAUCCACUCGAACCAUUCAAGACUGUCAUGGUCUAGAUAAUUAAGGCGAUUUCCCAGGAUGGGAUGUUUGCUAUGGACAGAAGCUGGAACAAUUCAACGAAGUAAUAAUAAAGGCCAACCACUUCCGAUACUGACACAUAUACAUCUCAGAGUUCUAACUUUCGCCGUGCGGCUGCUUUUGGUCUGAAGUGUCAACUACUAGUUCGCACAUGCAUAAUCAGUCCAGUUUACACCACGGGAAAUCAAUUUCAUGAAGAUGAAAAAACUACUAGGUACUUCUUCCGUUUCAAAAUGUUCGGUUUUUAAACUUUUUAGAUACAUAAAUUUUGCUAUGCACCUAAAUAAUUGAGGUAAAAAUGAUUGUUAAGUAGCAAUGGGUACUUCCACCACGUACUUUUUUAAAAAAAAUUACACUGUUGAUCCAAGUAAUGUAAUUAAAAAAUAAAUUAAAUUAGUACCGGUCCCACUGUUUUUGUACUUGGUCUCCACCUAUUUGGUACUUCUUGUUACUUUUCUCUAGAUACCUCUAGGUACUUUCUACCUUUCCACCGCACGAUUUUUCUGGAUGGACGGCUCUUAUUUUUUCCAAUUAUUGAAAAUAUUUUCAUCAACAAAACCAAAACGACCUACAUUUUGAAAUAAAGGGAGUAACUAAUAGUCUAAUACCUUAGCAUUGACAAGGGCUUGUUCAACGAGAGUGGAACGACAUAGACACAAUCUCCUUGCAUUUAUCGAAAAUUUAGCAUUUUUUCCCUUCUGUUCUGCUGAAGAAUUUGGCCUAAUCCUAUGAACCCAGGCAAGUGCCUACGGAGAGAAUUUGAUGCCAGGUCCGCCAUUGGAUCAAAGUAGGCACGGCAAUGGAAUAAUGGAUAAUAACCGUCAUAUGCAGUGAUAUAAGGCUUAUAAUCCACUAUGCAAAACUAACAAUCAGGGCACCAACUGUGAAGUGUGUAUCUACACACAACGUAUUCCGUGGAUAUGGCUGCUAGGGGGGCGAGCCUUGGGUGCGAAAGAGGGCCAUUUGGAUGGUGCACCUAACGAAUCUUACACACAUCCAAAUCUUCAAAGUGCAUCCACACCAAAUAAUAUAAUCCGUUGCUUGACAGAAGCUUAUUUGAAUCUGAUGAUCAUUGACCAUCAUCACCGGCCUUCCUCGAUGAGGGAGCUCAGGUACGACGAUGUCGAUGCCGACAUGCCGACCACCUCCCUCUUGCUCGAGCUCGCCUGCCACUCGGUGACGUAGCUGGGCUUCGUGACUGCCUCUGGCACUUCGAUGUCUUCUGUGAGCAUGGACACCACCUUUGACAUGGAUGGCCGCUGCCGAGGUGAGCUCUGGAUGCAGAGGAGGCCGACGCGGAUGGCACGGAGAACCUCGUCGCUGACGAAUUCCAUGAGACUCGGGUCCACGACGUCGAGAGGACGGCCUUCCUCGUACAAUUGCCAGACCUGAAAGCGUAGGGCUCAUGCAUGUAGGAGAACUUCACUGUUGUAGGAAUGCAACAAACUAUUUUUUUUCAUAUGAUUCCAAAUUCUAAGAUCCACAUAAUGCUGCCAUUUUAAAAUUUAACACGCUGUGUCAGCUGCUUAGAUGCUAACAAGGUCUUAUAAGUGACACCAUAUGCAUGACUAGCAAUUUCUACGAAAAAUGUAUUUGUCUCAAAUAAAUAGCAUUUUUAUGUUGAAUUUAGUAUAUGAACAACUUUUAAAUUUUUAUGUUGUUAAUCUAAAUAAUUCUUCAUGUAGUGCUGCGCAAAGCUAAAACUGCUGCACAUUUUAGAAGAGGGACACUGGAGCAUAGAUCUUUAGAUCAAUAACUUAUAUUCUGUGUCCGAGGGAGUAACAAAACUUUCCCUCUUCUAAACAAGUGCCUAUCAACAACUAGCAUUCUGUACAUAGCUUAUUUAUUUGACUGCAUCUCUUUUUAUAUAAUUCAAUGAUGUCAAAAUUAUGGUUAAGUUUUUGAAUAAAAAAUCUUAUGAACGCACAUGAGCUUUAAUUUUUAUGUUAUAUAAGUGCCUAUCAUAUAUAUAUAUAUUCCCAGUUACCACAUGAAAAACUGCAAUUUGACCUGGGUCUAAAUUUUGUAGUGACUUUACCCAUUCUAAAAGAUAGGCGCUGUCUUCGUCAAGCCUAUCAUCAUAGUUUGGCCUUCCAGCUAUUGUUUCCAAUAUGACCACGCCAAAAGCAAAUACAUCAACUUUCUCCGUUACAUGACCUCUCAUGGCGUACUCAGGUGCUAGAUAACCACUUGAAAGAAGAGCAGAAAAAUAAUGUUAUUAGCUCACAGAUUAAUCAAACUAAAGUAUAAACUUUCUGCAAUUGUAUAAAGGUGCACUCCAGUGUGCAAGAUAACCUCUCAUUCCCUACUUACUAUAAAUGGGGCAAGAUGCAAAUGCGCUUACAAUGUACCGGCAACUUUUGUGCUGACAUGCGUCUUCUUGUCAUCAUAAAGUUUAGCGAGUCCAAAAUCUGAGAUCUUAGGGUUGAAAUUGGUGUCAAGUAAGAUAUUACUGGCCUUUAUAUCCCUAUGCACAACACGGAUGCUAGACUCUUCGUGCAAAUAAGCUAGACCUCUUGUAAUGCCUAAGCAUAUCCCAAAGCGUGUAAGCCAGUCUAGGUUCUUUCUCCCACUUCCUGCAAAUGAAUGUUUAAGUUAUACGAUGAACUCCUGGAGGGCCGGAGUUAUAUACAGUUGCAUCAAAUUGAAUGAACCUGUACCAAACAAUGCUUUAUCAAGACUUCCAUUCUCUAAGUACUCGUAAACCAGCAGUGGAUUUUCGCCCUCAAGGCAGCAACCAUACAACUUCACGAGAUUCCGAUGUUGCACUUGGGAAAUAGUUUCUAUUUCAGCUAUGAAUUGCUUCUUCCCUUGACGAGAUGUUUCAGAUAGCUGCUUUACUGCUACCAUGCUUCCAUCGGUCAGUUUACCCUGCGAAAAUGUGGCAUUUUUUAAGAAUGUAAGUUUCAGACACCUCAUUAUCACGCAUAUAAUGGACAAAAUAAAGAGACUGCCAAGCUAGCCAUGUGGGGCAACUAUAAAAGGAACUAGUAGAGAGCAACAAAAGGGAAAACCAAUGGGGAAUGUGUGUGUAGAUUGAUAUUACUAAAAGAAUAGGUGAAGCAUUGCCCAGAAGUAGAGGUUUAUUAGUCAAUUUGCAUACAGAAAAAGAGCUCUGGUGUGCACUACUUAUGUACGUGGAAACUUAAUUUCAGAGGCAAAUUAAAAUUCCAUAGCAAAUUUGCAUCCAUGUCACCAUGUGUAGUACAGAUGAACUAACCUUAUAAACUGCCCCGUAUCCUCCUUCACCAAGAAGGUUAGUGGAAUUAAAAUUUUCACUAGCGGUCCUUAGUUCACCAUAACUGUAACUAAAUACAUUUGGUCUUCCAACACAACUGUACAGCUCUGCAAGAAUCACAAGAGUUAAGUUUAUGAGCACAACCUCUUUGUCUGGUUUAAGAAUACACUGUGAACCUGUCAUAUCAUGUACCUCGUUUGUCCAAUGACAAUUUUCUUCUUUUCUGCCUCAACACAUAGAGUCCAGAGAGCACUAAUAGUCCUAAAACUGCUGCACCAACCCCAACCCCAACAGCGACACCUGUAUUGCUAGUACGUUUCGUCUGGGCAGCAUGGGCAGCAUUACGCACUGUAGGUUCGAAAUCUGUCCAAAAGUCCACUUGUUAGAACAAAUGCAAUCUUGGAUUUGGAUCCUAUGUUAAGUGUUUAUGAAUUUUCACUUUUUAAAAGUACUUGAGAAUUCAGCACCGGUUCAGAGUGGAUCUGUAAUUCUGUAUCACUAUUAUACAUGUCAGAGUGUUGGUUCAGUCAUCAGCAUUCUCCUAAUGGGAACUAAGUUGACCCCGCGAAAAUUAUCUAAACAGUAUAGAAACGUUGGUUUAUAGACAACGGGAGUACUUGGAGUUGCACUCAAAGCAGAGAGCGAAGGCCCAUAGUAGCCUUGACUAGGGAUGCAACAAGUGCCCUUGCCGGCCCAGAAAAGAUGAAUCUCAAGGAAGUUUCUGGUGACAGGAACAGUAUACUUCCUCGUGACAGCAGUGUAAGAUUUUCCGGCUGCUGCCUUUCUUAUGUCAAAGUUCUGCUCUUUACGCUCACCCUGUACCAAAAGCAAGAAAAAAAACAUUAGAAAAUCUCAAUCAGCCCAUAAGCUAAAAUCUCAAGUAAGUGUAAGUUAUCAGCAUGACUGGAACCUACCUGAAUAUAGAUAUCGAAAACCCUUUUACCUAAACUCUUCCAAGUCUGCAUGUCUUCGAAGUCAAACUCUGCAAAUUGAAGUGUGACUGUAUAAUUUCCAUUCUCAAGUCCAAUGCCAUAGUAGCGUAAUGAUGAUGGAGACAUCCUUGCUGUCUGGAACAGUUCUGAAUCUAGAGUUUUCAGAAACUGGCGUGAGCUGUUGAUUAUGUAACUAUUAUUUGGUGCCUCCAUGAACCUCCCAACAUUGCUAACACCCCACGUUGGUGCUCCUGUAACAUAAUAGGAAGCAGGUCCCAGAUCGGCGUUGUCAGGCUGAUACAUGGAAUUAUCUGAGACUGACAUAGAUCUCUGGCUCCCACAGUCCACAGCAAAGGAGGAAGCUGCAAGCAUGUUAAAUUAUUUAAUACUGAUGUUAUUUAGCAUAUCCUUAAAGUGCAAAAGUGGAAGCUCACAUUGUGGAGAGCCAAGAAAGCAGGGUGUGUCUCGCUGAAGGCACCCUAGCCCCGAAGGUAAGGCACUGAAGAUGUCAAACAUUGUCAAUUUGAAUCCAAAAUAUGAGCUGAGGCCUGAGAGAACAUAAAAAUUGUGCUUGAAGACUUUAAUGACCUAUUUGAAUACAAACUGACCUGUUAUUGGAGUCGUCGAUUACGAAAUUGUUCGCCACCAAAUUCCUAUGUAGAAUGAAACAUGUAAAAAAGAGUUAGAAGGCACUAUUGCAGAGAAUCAAGAGAAACCAAAGCAGGGACAAAAUUGAUUCAGUUUUUUAAGAUAAGCGAUAAGGUAAAGUACACAUCUGCUUGUUCAAAGAUUCUGAAUCAUAGAUGACGUCAAAUGCAAAAAGAAAAGAAAAAAAGAAAAAAUAAAUAUGGUCUAGGUGCAGCAAAAGCAGCCUUUUAGAUGUAGUUGAUAUUAAAAAAUGCUAGUUUAAUACAUGUGUAUGAUAUUGGAUUAUCUUUAAAAUAAUAGUAAUAGGGCUGAAUUUUCGGUCAGUCAAUCAAGCUUGCAAAACUCAGCACUUACAAUGUCAAAUUCGGACUAACCCAGGAGGGAAAGUUUCCUGAUAGCUGGUUGUAGGAAAAGUCUCUACACAAAACAAAGCGUGUAAAUGUUAUAGAUAAACGCCUUCCUGGUUUUACUUCACAAAUGAAAGUGGACAAACAUACAAGUUUUUAAGAGAAGUUCCUAUAGAACUUGGAAGGCUUCAUGAAAGACUAUUAUUCCCGAGAAACCUGGGCAGACCAAAUUUGCGCAUUAGCAAGAUUGAUGAUCAUUGUCAUCAGAACCUAGAAAUAAGUAUCAGAAGGCAAGAUAAACCAUACAAGAAGCUGAGUGAAUUCAGAUUCAGCAGAGCUUGCGGUACUAGGCCAGUAAUAUUGUUAAAACUCAAAUCCCUGUAACAGUAGAACAAAUGAGACUAGGAGAGAAAGGGGUCAUCAAACAAUGCAUAAUCCACAGCAGUUCAUUAAAGCAUCUAGCAAAACAUGCAGUUGACUGGAGUUUACGAAGAAACAAAAUGUCUUACAGUAGGGUUAAUGUUGCAAACUGUGAAAAGUUUACUGAUGCCAGGUUAUCAGAUAUCCUGCAGUUCCUCAAAACUCUGCAAUGAAACAUGUCAAGAGUUUUCGGAUUUAACAAUUUGGUUGCACUACAGCAAAUAUUAAGAUGUAGUUUUGAGUCAUCAAGUGAAUGACAAGUUAUGCAUACAAGAUGUUCAAAGAUGUCAUGUUACUGAUGAAUGCCAGUGAAGAACUCCCAUUUACUAUGUCACCUAUUCGUCUGAACCACAGAAGUAGAUAAUUAAUUCUUCUGUUCUGCAACCUUAAUACUUGACAAUGAUACUUAUCUACUCCCG
rnacentral:lncRNA from 1 species